GUGGAGCAUGUGGCUAAUUUGACUCAACGCGGGGAAUCUUACUAGGUCCGGACCGAGUCUAUGAUUGUCGUACCGUUGGGUGUUACGUGAUUACUGGAUGAGUGGUGCAUGGCCGUUCUUAGUUCGUGGUGUUAAUUGUUUACUUAAUUGUUUAUGAUUUUACGUCUCSCGGCUAAGAUCUWCUAACGAACGAGAUCGAGACCCGUGGUUGCGUUGUGUGAUGCGUCAACGUAAACUACAGGGAUCGCGUAAUAUACCCAACGGUACGAUUGAAAGACUCGGCAAUAACAGGUCUGUGAUGCCCUCAGAUGUUCUAGGCUGCACACGUGCUACAUUGUGAUUCCGUAGUGUGUGUGUAUGCAUAGAAUAUCUCGCACCGAGUCAUAACUGGUCACGCGGUUGGACUCACCGAUUGUCAAUUAUUCGGUAUACUAACUAGGAAUGCCUCGUACUGCGAGGUUCAACGAGACCCACUGGAAUCCGUCCCUGCCCUUUGUACACACCGCCCGUCGCUCUUACCGAUGGGUGUGGUUGUUAGCAUUGGUGAGUCUCCUACGAACAAACUAAUAUACUGCGAGGUGAACCAACGCAUGCAACCACGCCUAAAGGAAAGAGAAGUCGUAHCAAGGCAUCG
rnacentral:rRNA from 1 species